CUAGCGACUUCAGAGUUUGAUCCUGGCUCAGGAUGAACGCUAGCUACAGGCUUAACACAUGCAAGUCGAGGGGCAGCGGGGAUCUAGCUUGCUAGAUUUGCCGGCGACCGGCGCACGGGUGAGUAACACGUAUCCAACCUGGCCCAUACUCGGGUAUAGCCUCUCGAAAGGGAGAUUAAUCCCCGAUGUUGUUGCGAUUCCGCAUGGUGUUGCAACCAAAGAGCUUCGGUAUGGGAUGGGGAUGCGUUCCAUUAGCUUGUUGGAGGGGUAACGGCCCACCAAGGCGACGAUGGAUAGGGGUUCUGAGAGGAAGGUCCCCCACACUGGAACUGAGACACGGUCCAG
rnacentral:rRNA from 1 species